AAGAGUAUAGUGACUUCGGUCUACUACUCCACCCUUUGUUUACAAUACCAUUGUUGCUUUGGCAGGCCCGUCUUUUGACAACCGGCUUCGGCUGGUCAGUGCCUGCCAGAGGACCUAAAACUCAUGUUUAUAUUAUUGUCUGAGUACUAUAUAAUAGUUA
rnacentral:misc_RNA from 1 species